GAGGGUAUAGCUCAGCGGUAGAGUGCGUGCUUAGCAUGCAGGAGGCCCUGGGUUCAAUCCCCAAGACUUCCA
rnacentral:tRNA from 1 species